rnacentral:rRNA from 1 species
AAUGGGCGCAAGCCUGAUCCAGCCAUGCCGCGUGAGUGAUGAAGGCCCUAGGGUCGUAAAGCUCUAUCGCCUGUGAAGAUAAUGACGGUAGCAGGUAAAGAAACCCCGGCUAACUCCGUGCCAGCAGCCGCGGUAAUACGGAGGGGGUUAGCGUUGUUCGGAAUUACUGGGCGUAAAGCGCGCGUAGGCGGAUUAGUAAGUCAGAGGUGAAAUCCCAGGGCUCAACCCUGGAACUGCCUUUGAUACUGCUAGUCUUGAGUUCGAGAGAGGUAAGUGGAAUUCCGAGUGUAGAGGUGAAAUUCGUAGAUAUUCGGAGGAACACCAGUGGCGAAGGCGGCUUACUGGCUCGAUACUGACGCUGAGGUGCGAAAGUGUGGGGAGCAAACAGGAUU